ACGCUCGACACCUACGGGAAGCAGCAGUGGGGAAUAUUGCACAAUGGGGGAAACCCUGAUGCAGCGACGCCGCGUGAGUGAAGAAGUAUUUCGGUAUGUAAAGCUCUAUCAGCAGGGAAGAAGAUGACGGUACCUGAGUAAGAAGCUCCGGCUAACUACGUGCCAGCGCCGCGGUAAUCUGAGCGGGCUGGCAAGGC
rnacentral:rRNA from 1 species